GAUGAACGCUGGCGGCGUGCCUAACACAUGCAAGUCGAGCGAACCCUUCGGGGUGAGCGGCGGACGGGUGAGUAACGCGUGGGUAACCUGCCCUAUACACACGGAUAACGUACCGAAAGGUACGCUAAUACGGGAUAAUAUUGUUGGAUAGCAUCUUCUAACAAUCAAAGCUCCGGCGGUAUAGGAUGGACCCGCGUCUGAUUAGCUAGUUGGUGAGGUAAUGGCUCACCAAGGCGACGAUCAGUAGCCGACCUGAGAGGGUGAUCGGCACACUGGAACUGAGACACGGUCCAGACUCCUACGGGAGGCAGCAGUGGGGAAUAUUGCACAAUGGGCGAAAGCCUGAUGCAGCAACGCCGCGUGAGCGAUGAAGGUCUUCGGAUCGUAAAGCUCUGUCCUCAAGGAAGAUAAUGACGGUACUUGAGGAGGAAGCCCCGGCUAACUACGUGCCAGCAGCCGCCGUAA
rnacentral:rRNA from 1 species